GAUGAAGAACGCAGCGAAAUGCGAUACGUAAUGUGAAUUGCAGAAUUCAGUGAAUCAUCGAGUCUUUGAACGCACAUUGCGCCCCCUGGUAUUCCGGGGGGCAUGCCUGUCCGAGCGUCAUUGCUGCCCUCAAGCACGGCUUGUGUGUUGGGCCUCCGUCCUCCUCCCGGGGGACGGGCCCGAAAGGCAGCGGCGGCACCGCGUCCGGUCCUCGAGCGUAUGGGGCUUCGUCACCCGCUCUUGUAGGCCCGGCCGGCGCUUGCCGACACAUCAAUCUUUUUUCCAGGUUGACCACGGAUCAGGUAGGGAUACCCGCUGAACUUAAGCAUAUCAUAAGCGGAGGA
rnacentral:misc_RNA from 1 species